AACAUCGCGCACCUGCGGGAACCUGCGGAGGGAUCAUUAUUGUAGGGACCUCGGUCCUUCCAAGAUGCAACCCUUGCCUUUUUCUAGCGUCUCUCCGUUUCCUCGGCAGCUCCGCCUGCCAGCGAGGACCCCCGAAAACCUUUUGCAAUCCCCGUACAAACUUCUGAACAUACACAAAAACGUUAAAACUUUUAACAACGGAUCU
rnacentral:misc_RNA from 1 species